rnacentral:rRNA from 1 species
CCUACGGGAUGCAGCAGUGGGGAAUAUUGCGCAAUGGGCGAAAGCCUGACGCAGCGACGCCGCGUGAGGGAUGAAGGUCUUCGGAUCGUAAACCUCUGUCAGCAGGGAAGAACGGUCACUGUGCUAAUCAGCAGUGAAUUGACGGUACCUGAAAAGGAAGCACCGGCUAACUACGUGCCAGCAGCCGCGGUAAUACGGAGGGGGCGAGCGUUAAUCGGAAUUACUGGGCGUAAAGCGCUCGUAGGCGGUAUGUCAAGUAAAGGGUGAAAUCCCCGGGCUCAACGGGGGAACUGCAUUUGAAACUGGCAAACUGGAGUGUGUGAGAGGAUAGUGGAAUUCCAGGUGUAGGGGUGAAAGCCGUAGAUAGAUGGAGGAACAUCAGUGGCGAAGGCGACUAUCUGGCACAUAACUGACGCUGAGGAGCGAAAGCGUGGGUAGCAAACAGGAUUAGAUACCCGGGUAGUC